UACGGGGGGGGCAAGCGUUGUUCGGAAUUACUGGGCGUAAAGGGCUCGUAGGCGGCCAACUAAGUCAGACGUGAAAUCCCUCGGCUUAACCGGGGAACUGCGUCUGAUAUUGGAUGGCUAGAGGUUGGGAGAGGGAUGCGGAAUUCCAGGUGUAGCGGUGAAAUGCGUAGAUAUCGGGAGGAACACCAGUGGCGAAGGCGACUACCUGGCCUGUUCUUGACGCUGAGGCGCGAAAGCUAGGGGAGCAAACGGG
rnacentral:rRNA from 1 species